rnacentral:rRNA from 1 species
AUUGAACGCUGGCGGCAGGCCUAACACAUGCAAGUCGAGCGAGCGGCGGACGGGUGAGUAAUGUCUGGGAAACUGCCUGAUGGAGGGGGAUAACUACUGGAAACGGUAGCUAAUACCGCAUACCAUCAGAUGUGCCCAGAUGGGAUUAUCUAGUAGGUGGUGUAACGGCUCACCUAGGCGACGAUCCCUCGCUGGUCUGAGAGGAUGACCAGCCACACGGGAACUGAGCCACGGUCCAGACACCUACGGGAGGCAGAAGUGGGGAAUAUUGAACAAGGGGCGCAAGCCUGAUGCAGCCAUGCCGCGUGUGUGAAGAAGGCCUUCGGGUUGUAAAGCACUUUCAGCGGGGAGGCGGUACCCGCAGAAGAAGCACCGGCUAACUCCGUGCCAGCAGCCGCGGUAAUUG